rnacentral:rRNA from 17 species
AAAUUGAAGAGUUUGAUCAUGGCUCAGAUUGAACGCUGGCGGCAGGCCUAACACAUGCAAGUCGAACGGUAACAGGAAGCAGCUUGCUGCUUCGCUGACGAGUGGCGGACGGGUGAGUAAUGUCUGGGAAACUGCCUGAUGGAGGGGGAUAACUACUGGAAACGGUGGCUAAUACCGCAUAACGUCGCAAGACCAAAGAGGGGGACCUUCGGGCCUCUUGCCAUCAGAUGUGCCCAGAUGGGAUUAGCUAGUUGGUGAGGUAACGGCUCACCAAGGCGACGAUCCCUAGCUGGUCUGAGAGGAUGACCAGCCACACUGGAACUGAGACACGGUCCAGACUCCUACGGGAGGCAGCAGUGGGGAAUAUUGCACAAUGGGCGCAAGCCUGAUGCAGCCAUGCCGCGUGUAUGAAGAAGGCCUUCGGGUUGUAAAGUACUUUCAGCGGGGAGGAAGGUGUUGUGGUUAAUAACCGCAGCAAUUGACGUUACCCGCAGAAGAAGCACCGGCUAACUCCGUGCCAGCAGCCGCGGUAAUACGGAGGGUGCAAGCGUUAAUCGGAAUUACUGGGCGUAAAGCGCACGCAGGCGGUCUGUCAAGUCGGAUGUGAAAUCCCCGGGCUCAACCUGGGAACUGCAUUCGAAACUGGCAGGCUUGAGUCUUGUAGAGGGGGGUAGAAUUCCAGGUGUAGCGGUGAAAUGCGUAGAGAUCUGGAGGAAUACCGGUGGCGAAGGCGGCCCCCUGGACAAAGACUGACGCUCAGGUGCGAAAGCGUGGGGAGCAAACAGGAUUAGAUACCCUGGUAGUCCACGCCGUAAACGAUGUCUACUUGGAGGUUGUGCCCUUGAGGCGUGGCUUCCGGAGCUAACGCGUUAAGUAGACCGCCUGGGGAGUACGGCCGCAAGGUUAAAACUCAAAUGAAUUGACGGGGGCCCGCACAAGCGGUGGAGCAUGUGGUUUAAUUCGAUGCAACGCGAAGAACCUUACCUGGUCUUGACAUCCACAGAACUUUCCAGAGAUGGAUUGGUGCCUUCGGGAACUGUGAGACAGGUGCUGCAUGGCUGUCGUCAGCUCGUGUUGUGAAAUGUUGGGUUAAGUCCCGCAACGAGCGCAACCCUUAUCCUUUGUUGCCAGCGAUUAGGUCGGGAACUCAAAGGAGACUGCCAGUGAUAAACUGGAGGAAGGUGGGGAUGACGUCAAGUCAUCAUGGCCCUUACGACCAGGGCUACACACGUGCUACAAUGGCGCAUACAAAGAGAAGCGACCUCGCGAGAGCAAGCGGACCUCAUAAAGUGCGUCGUAGUCCGGAUUGGAGUCUGCAACUCGACUCCAUGAAGUCGGAAUCGCUAGUAAUCGUGGAUCAGAAUGCCACGGUGAAUACGUUCCCGGGCCUUGUACACACCGCCCGUCACACCAUGGGAGUGGGUUGCAAAAGAAGUAGGUAGCUUAACCUUCGGGAGGGCGCUUACCACUUUGUGAUUCAUGACUGGGGUGAAGUCGUAACAAGGUAACCGUAGGGGAACCUGCGGUUGGAUCACCUCCUUACCUUAAAGAA